CAGUGAAAUUGAACUCGCUGUGAAGAUGCAGUGUACCCGCGGCAAGACGGAAAGACCCCGUGAACCUUUACUAUAGCUUGACACUGAACAUUGAGCCUUGAUGUGUAGGAUAGGUGGGAGGCUUUGAAGUGUGGACGCCAGUCUGCAUGGAGCCGACCUUGAAAUACCACCCUUUAAUGUUUGAUGUUCUAACGUGGACCCGUUACCCGGGUUGCGGACAGUGUCUGGUGGGUAGUUUGACUGGGGCGGUCUCCUCCUAAAGAGUAACGGAGGAGCACGAAGGUUGGCUAAUCCUGGUCGGACAUCAGGAGGUUAGUGCAAUGGCAUAAGCCAGCUUGACUGCGAGCGUGACGGCGCGAGCAGGUGCGAAAGCAGGUCAUAGUGAUCCGGUGGUUCUGAAUGGAAGGGCCAUCGCUCAACGGAUAAAAGGUACUCCGGGGAUAACAGGCUGAUACCGCCCAAGAGUUCAUAUCGACGGCGGUGUUUGGCACCUCGAUGUCGGCUCAUCACAUCCUGGGGCUGAAGUAGGUCCCAAGGGUAUGGCUGUUCGCCAUUUAAAGUGGUACGCGAGCUGGGUUUAGAACGUCGUGAGACAGUUCGGUCCCUAUCUGCCGUGGGCGCUGGAGAACUGAGGGGGGCUGCUCCUAGUACGAGAGGACCGGAGUGGACGCAUCACUGGUGUUCGGGUUGUCAUGCCAAUGGCACUGCCCGGUAGCUAAAUGCGGAAGAGAUAAGUGCUGAAAGCAUCUAAGCACGAAACUUGCCCCGAGAUGAGUUCUCCCUGAGACUUUAGGUCUCCUGAAGGAACGUUGAAGACGACGACGUUGAUAGGCCGGGUGUGUAAGCGCAGCGAUGCGUUGAGCUAACCGGUACUAAUGAACCGUGAGGCUUAACCUUACAACGCCGAAG
rnacentral:rRNA from 1 species